UAAGGGAUGUUAGAAAAUAUCUGAGUGUCAUGGUUUAUGUCUGUGGCCCCCAGGACUCAUAAGUUUGCAUUGUGCAUUUGUGAUACUUCAUUGUCUAGUGCUUGGAUUGGUGUCAGUGUACCACCCACAUAGGGGUGGAGCCAGGAUGUGAUGUAAUGGCAAGGAAGAAGGUGUGUCUUUCUCUUUGCUGGUUCCUGCUUGCUGUUUGCAACCGCCAUGAAAGGUGGCCCAGCCAUGCCUGCCUGCCUUGGAGCCAACUGAGUGUGGACUGAAACCUCCAAAAACUAUAAAAGGGGCCAUAAAUCUCUCCAGGCAGAGCAUGCUCCAGCCCUGCCUUCCUCCCUUCUCAGAGAUCUUACUUGGAAAUACAGCUCAACAGUCACUGAUGAAUCAUAGCGUCUGUGGAACAGUCCAGAUAAGGUCUGUACAACAGUUGCUUAAAAAAUAAGCAUAAAUCGCUCGGUGCUGUCGCUCUGUCUCUCACUGCGGAGACUUCCCCACAGCUCAUAUAUUGACUCUGAAGGCAGUUCCAGAGGCCAAGCCAAAGUAGGAUUGCUGGUUCCAACAGCAAAUGCAAAGCAAGGAGGAAGUCUAUCUCAUCCUCUUGUGUGAUGAAGACAGGUCUCCCAAUCCAGCACAGCACAAGUCCUUCCCAGAUGAUGCUUGUAUUGAGCUUCAAUCUUGCAUACUUCUAUUCUAAGUUCAAAUGCCUGGAUUUCAUCUUUGGAAGAGAUUCAUACAUUUGUUCACCUACUAUGUGCGAAGAAUGCUGUUGGGAAUAAAGAUAUAGAAAGAAGA